GAUGAAGAACGCAGCGAAAUGCGAUAAGUUAUGUGAAUUGCAGAAUUCAGUGAAUCAUCGAAUCUUUGAACGCACAUUGCGCCCCUUGGUAUUCCGAGGGGCAUGCCUGUUCGAGCGUCAUUAUAACCCCUCAAGCUCAGCUUGGUGUUGGGGCAUGUCUUUGGGCAGCCCUUAAAAUCAGUGGCAGUGCCUAUCGGCUCUAAGCGUAGUAAUUUCUCUCGCUAUAGGGUCCGGUGGAACACGCGCCAGAACCCCCAACUUUCUAUGGUUGACCUCGGAUCAGGUAGGGAUACCCGCUGAACUUAAGCAUAUCAAUAAGCGGAGGA
rnacentral:misc_RNA from 1 species